AAGCCAGACUCCUACGGGAGGCAGCAGUGGGGGAUAUUGCACAAUGGGGGGAACCCUGAUGCAGCGACGCCGCGUGGGUGAAGGAGCGUUUCGGCGCGUAAAGCCCUAUCGGCAGGGAAGAAGGAGGACGGUACCUGACUAAGAAGCCCCGGCUAACUACGUGCCAGCAGCCGCGGCAAUACGUAGGGGGCAAGCGUUAUCCGGAUUUACUGGGUGUAAAGGGGGCGCAGACGGCAGCGCAAGCCAGGAGUGAAAGCCCGGGGCCCAACCCCGGGACUGCUCUUGGAACUGCGCGGCUGGAGUGCAGGAGGGGCAGGCGGAAUUCCUGGUGUAGCGGUGAAAUGCGUAGAUAUCAGGAGGAACACCGGUGGCGAAGGCGGCCUGCUGGACUGCGACUGACGUUGAGGCCCGAAAGCGUGGGGAGCAAACAGGAUUAGAUACCCGAGUA
rnacentral:rRNA from 1 species